rnacentral:rRNA from 1 species
UACGGGGGGGGCAAGCGUUGUUCGGAAUUACUGGGCGUAAAGGGCUCGUAGGCGGCCAACUAAGUCAGACGUGAAAUCCCUCGGCUUAACCGGGGAACUGCGUCUGAUACUGGAUGGCUUGAGUUUGGGAGAGGGAUGCGGAAUUCCAGGUGUAGAGGUGAAAUUCGUAGAUAUUAGGAAGAACACCGUGGCGAAGGCGGCUCACUGGCCCGGUACUGACGCUCAUGUGCGAAAGCGUGGGGAGCAAACAGG